UCAGGACGAACGCUGGCGGCGUGCUUAACACAUGCAAGUCGAACGAUGAAGCCUUUCGGGGUGGAUUAGUGGCGAACGGGUGAGUAACACGUGGGCAAUCUGCCCUUCACUCUGGGACAAGCCCUGGAAACGGGGUCUAAUACCGGAUAACACUCUGUUCCGCAUGGGACGGGGUUAAAAGCUCCGGCGGUGAAGGAUGAGCCCGCGGCCUAUCAGCUUGUUGGUGGGGUAAUGGCCUACCAAGGCGACGACGGGUAGCCGGCCUGAGAGGGCGACCGGCCACACUGGGACUGAGACACGGCCCAGACUCCUACGGGAGGCAGCAGUGGGGAAUAUUGCACAAUGGGCGAAAGCCUGAUGCAGCGACGCCGCGUGAGGGAUGACGGCCUUCGGGUUGUAAACCUCUUUCAGCAGGGAAGAAGCGAAAGUGACGGUACCUGCAGAAGAAGCGCCGGCUAACUACGUGCCAGCAGCCGCGGUAAUACGUAGGGCGCAAGCGUUGUCCGGAAUUAUUGGGCGUAAAGAGCUCGUAGGCGGCUUGUCACGUCGGAUGUGAAAGCCCGGGGCUUAACCCCGGGUC
rnacentral:rRNA from 1 species